UCUUUAUCGAUUCAAUAUCUUCAUGGUGUUCUAGGGUGUAAUUCACUGUAGUUACUGUUCAGUAAUCUUUUAUAUUCAGACAACUUUCUGGUAAGCCUUUAGUUUGUAUCAGGUGAAUGAAAUGCUAAGAUAUUCUUACUUCGUCCUUGUUUUUUUGUACAAUAAGAAACUAUUCUUUUGGUUUGGUUAUUCUUUAUUUACUUAUUUAUUGUACUUGGUUAUGUAAUAUCAGAUUCUUGCCCUGACCCUAGCUUUUAAUGUCACGGGGGAUCAUUGUCCUUAUUUCAUCAAGUGCUUUCUUCCUUGUGUACUAUCAGGAAUUUGUGGUCCUUUGAGAAAACUCAUGGAGCAGAAUGCUCAAGCAUUUAAUCAAAUCACAAACAAUUUGUCUAGUUACAAGUUGCAGGAUAACAUUGAUCUCUUUUGCCACACAAGGCACAACAUUUGUUCAAUUCUUAAUGA